CAGGGAACCAGCUGAGGAAGUGAGCCAGGAAGUACAGGGCUGGGAGGGAUCAAAAGGGUAGAAAGGAAAGGGCCCUUAGUUGGGCUCCCUGUGUCAGCAGUUUUAAGCUCAUUGUGAGAGAGCAGGCCAAGCUGCCUUCACCCUGUAGAGGGAUUCUGAACAAAAUGGCCCCUAAAGAACAGAAAGGCCAUGCAGUUUCAGAAACUCUCCCAGCAACAUGGAGGGGGCCUGCUAGCAUGCUGUAGAAAGCUCUGCAACUGACCUGUGCGUCCUGGGCUUCCCCAGUUUUCAGACAGAACCAGCCCCAUACCUUGCUUCAGUUUGGGAGGACAACUGAGGCUGAGAAUUUCUGACUACACUCAGCGCCCUGGACCCGUGAAGGAUUCUUGACUGAGCCUGAUGAUAUAAAUCAGCAGGAAAUAUUCUGCAACAUGGGCUCGCUGGGCACUACUAGGAAGUCAUUUGUGGUGGAGGGAGGUGGCUCCUCUCCUGCCUGGAAAGAGAGCUAUGAAAGGCUUGUCUGAUCACAAUCGUAGGCUUAGCCUUUUAGAUCUUAGCACAACC
rnacentral:lncRNA from 1 species